rnacentral:rRNA from 1 species
CAAGUCGAACGAGAAAGUCCGCAAGGAUGAGUAAAGUGGCGUACGGGUGAGUAACACGUGGAUAACCUGCCCUUUAGUGGGGAAUACCGCUGGGAAACCGGCGACAAUACCGCAUAAGCUCGAGAGAGGAAAGCAGCAAUGCGCUGAAGGAGGGGUCCGCGGCCGAUCAGCUAGUUGGCAGGGUAAAAGCCUACCAAGGCUGUGAUCGGUAGCCGGCCUGAGAGGGCACACGGCCACACUGGCACUGAAACACGGGCCAGACUCCUACGGGAGGCAGCAGUGGGGAAUCUUGCACAAUGGGGGAAACCCUGAUGCAGCGACGCCGCGUGAGCGAUGAAGCCCUUCGGGGUGUAAAGCUCUUUCGGCAGGGACGAUUAUGACGGUACCUGCAGAAGCAGCUGCGGCUAACUACGUGCCAGCAGCCGCGGUAAUACGUAGGCAGCAAGCGUUGUUCGGAGUUACUGGGCGUAAAGGGUGCGUAGGCGGCUUCUUAAGUCUGGUGUGAAAUCUCCCGGCUCAACGGGGAGGGUGCGCCGGAUACUGAGGGGCUAGAGUGUGGGAGAGGAAAGUGGAAUUCCUGGUGUAGCGGUGAAAUGCGUAGAUAUCAGGAGGAACACCGGUGGUGUAAACGGCUUUCUGGACCAUAACUGACGCUGAGGCACGAAAGCGUGGGUAGCAAACAGGAUUAGAUACCCUGGUAGUCCACGCCCUAAACGAUGCAUAUUUGGUGUGGGCCAUUCAUUUGGUCCGUGCCGGAGCUAACGCGUUAAAUAUGCCGCCUGGGGAGUACAGUCGCAAGGCUGAAACUCAAAGGAAUUGACGGGGGCCCGCACAAGCGGUGGA